UGCUACGUAAAAACCGGACCACUUCGCUUCCCAAUACCUGGCCGAGAUCCCCAUCCCGUGGCAAGCAAGGAGCCGAUCGAAUCGGUUCAUUACCGGUGCGCGUAGUUGUCGCUAGGCCGAACCUGGACACCCCUCCCGAUUAUAUCCGGAAACCUGCUCCACCGACCCGAUCCAGCUGCUUGGCGUCACUAGUUGCGUUGCGUUAUUUACGCAUAAAACGAGGUAGAAUCAAACGUCCGGAAUUGGGUUUCGAUGUUAGAAAACAGAAUGGAUCAACAUCAAUAAAACAACAACAACAACUCAAA